rnacentral:lncRNA from 1 species
CAGCGCUGCAGCCUCGGGAGACGCCGGCCGGGCCGGGCCCAGCGUCGCAGGGCUGCUGGCUGCGGGGCAUGCUCACCCCAGGAGUGGUGAAUGUGGGAGCUCGCGGCCACCUGCAUCACCUGUCCCGCCCCGACGCCGUGGCCAGCCCUGCGACAAGGCUGGACUGGGCGGGGGGCUGAGGUGGGCACCGGGCUGCCGCUGGCUCCCACACUGCCCGCUGUGCCCGCUGCCCCAGCCACCCCUGCUGCCGGAGCCUCCUACCUGGGCCGCAACGGCCAGGAUCGCAAAGAAAUCCCUCCCCUCGGUGCAGCUGCGGGCACAGUUCUGGCUUCAGUGAUCCUCUCACUGGAGCACCAUCUCAAUACUUAGAGAGACUUUCCAAAAUAGCCAUAUUGGAAUAUGAUACCAUUCGUCAGGAAACAACCACAAAAUCAAAAAAAAGCAAGAAACGAGACCUCCGAGACCGCUGAAAAAUGUCGUACAGUGUGAUGCUUUCUUCAGUGA